rnacentral:rRNA from 1 species
CAGCCGCCACGGUAAUACGAGGGGAGCUAGCGUUGUUCGGAAUUACUGGGCGUAAAGCGCGCGUAGGCGGCUUUUUAAGUCAGAGGUGAAAGCCCGGGGCUCAACCCCGGAAUUGCCUUUGAAACUGGAAAGCUAGAAUCUUGGAGAGGUCAGUGGAAUUCCGAGUGUAGAGGUGAAAUUCGUAGAUAUUCGGAAGAACACCAGUGGCGAAGGCGACUGACUGGACAAGUAUUGACGCUGAGGUGCGAAAGCGUGGGGAGCAAACAGGAUUAGAUACCCCAGUAGUCCCUGUCUCUUAUAC